rnacentral:rRNA from 1 species
UUAUAUGGUCAAGAAGAGAAGCGCAAACGGUGGAUGCCUUGGCAGUAAGAGGCGAAGAAGGACGUGGAAUCCUGCGAAAAGCUAUGGGGAGCUGGAAACGAGCGUUGAGCCAUAGAUGUCCGAAUGGGGGAACCCGGCUGCAGCGAUGCGGUCAUUUGCAUUUGAAUACAUAGGAUGCAAAGGCGAACUCGGGGAACUGAAACAUCUAAGUACCCGAAGGAAAAGAAAUCAAGAGAGAUUCUCCAAGUAGCGGCGAGCGAACGGGGAGGAGCCUGGCGUGAUUUAUUAUUGAACUGAGUAGAACAAUUUGGGAAAGUUGGCCGUAGAGGGUGAAAGCCCCGUAUACGAAGGUUUGAUGAGGAACUAGGCACGCGAACAAGUAGGCCGGGACACGUGAAAUCCUGGUUGAAGAUGGGUGGACCAUCAUCCAAGGCUAAAUACUACUUACUGACCGAUAGUGAACCAGUACCGUGAGGGAAAGGUGAAAAGAACCCCGGAGAGGGGAGUGAAAUAGAAUCUGAAACCGUUUGCGUACAAGCAGUGGGAGCAU